rnacentral:rRNA from 1 species
AUGUCGGGGAGUCGUCCUCUGGUCGUCGACAUGGAGGCAGCCCGCAAGGCCAUUGGUGGUUUCCUCGUGGUUGGACGCCUCCUCUCUCCUUUCCAGGUCAACCCAAGGGCCAUCCUCGAUGAUCUCCGAAACACGGCUUGGAAGAACCAAGGGGUGACCACCCUCCAAGAGGUGGCCAGCGACGAUGGGAGGUUCAUCCUCAACUUCGCCGCUGAAAGUGACCGUCGGUUUGUGCUUCAGGCGCAGCCAUGGCACUUCAAGCGGGAUGGGCUGAUCUUCGCCGAGUUC